rnacentral:rRNA from 1 species
GCGGACGGGUGAGUAACGCGUGGGUAACCUGCCUCAUACAGGGGGAUAACAGUUAGAAAUGACUGCUAAUACCGCAUAAGACCAAGGAGCCGCAUGGCUCAGUGGGAAAAACUCCGGUGGUAUGAGAUGGACCCGCGUCUGAUUAGGUAGUUGGUGGGGUAACGGCCUACCAAGCCAACGAUCAGUAGCCGACCUGAGAGGGUGACCGGCCACAUUGGGACUGAGACACGGCCCAAACUCCUACGGGAGGCAGCAGUGGGGAAUAUUGCACAAUGGGGGAAACCCUGAUGCAGCGACGCCGCGUGAGCGAAGAAGUAUUUCGGUAUGUAAAGCUCUAUCAGCAGGGAAGAAAAUGACGGUACCUGACUAAGAAGCACCGGCUAAAUACGUGCCAGCAGCCGCGGUAAUACGUAUGGUGCAAGCGUUAUCCGGAUUUACUGGGUGUAAAGGGAGCGUAGACGGCUGUGUAAGUCUGAAGUGAAAGCCCGGGGCUCAACCCCGGGACUGCUUUGGAAACUAUGCAGCUAGAGUGUCGGAGAGGUAAGUGGAUUCCCAGUGUAGCGGUG